CAGGAGAUGCUUUUAAUCCGAUUUGCAGCUUCAUUAAUACCGGAAUGCGGCUCAAUAAGCGACUGCAUGUAAAAGAUACUAUACGAACAGCCAGAAGCUUUUAAUUUGUGUCGCAUAACGCGGGAGAAAGACGGAGAAUUGUAAAGAGAAUUGCUUAAUUCCCGAACAAACACUCUCCUCUCAAUGGCGAUGACUUAAGUCAACGGAAAGAUUUAUUUCCGUUGGAAAAAAGCUGCGCAGUGCUGAAUGCGAAUGUGAAUAUAAAUCCAGUCAGUCGGACUUUACGACAAUGGGACCUGCGAAAAGUCAUUCAGUCGGACGCACAGACGGUCGGACGGUCGGAAAAUCCUGCUGCACCAGGCAACAGAGGCAGCCAUUUUGUCGGAUGCGAAUUAACAUGUCUGGGCUUUCUGGCUUUAUCCACACGCACACACUUUUUAUGCUGCAUGUUUUCCACUUCACAGGAUUUUAUGUUCCACUACACUCGCACUUGGCUCAAGUGUUGGAAAAUACAAUUGCCUGGGCACACACUCACACUCGCACACGGCUUUCCCACUUUGCAGGACGAAAGCAGUGGAGCAUUUCCGCAUUUUUGUUUUCUUUGGCUUUUGUUGUACUGCUGCGCCGCCAAAUGUUGUUGCCGUUGCUAAAAAGACAAUAAACUGUGCCAGUGUGCGUGUCUA